GAUGAACGCUGGCGGCGUGCUUAACACAUGCAAGUCGAACGAAGCACUUAAGAACGAUUCUUCGGAUGAAGUCAUAUGUGACUGAGUGGCGGACGGGUGAGUAACGCGUGGGUAACCUGCCUCACACAGGGGGAUAACAGUUGGAAACGACCGCUAAUACCGCAUAAGCCAACAGGGGCGCAUGCUCUGGUUGGAAAAGAUUUAUCGGUGUGAGAUGGACCCGCGUCUGAUUAGCCAGUUGGCAGGGUAACGGCCUACCAAAGCGACGAUCAGUAGCCGGCCUGAGAGGGUGAACGGCCACAUUGGGACUGAGACACGGCCCAA
rnacentral:rRNA from 1 species